CAAGUCGAGGGAAACGACAGUCGAAAGCUUGCUUUUGAUGGGCGUGACCGGCGCACGGGUGAGUAACGCGUAUCCAACCUGCCCACCACUUGGGGAUAACCUUGCGAAAGUAAGACUAAUACCCAAUGAUAUCCCACGAAGGCAUCCGAAUGGGAUUAAAGAUUUAUCGGUGAUGGAUGGGGAUGCGUCUGAUUAGCUUGUUGGCGGGGUAACGGCCCACCAAGGCGACGAUCAGUAGGGGUUCUGAGAGGAAGGUCCCCCACAUUGGAACUGAGACACGGUCCAAACUCCUACGGGAGGCAGCAGUGAGGAAUAUUGGUCAAUGGGCGAGAGCCUGAACCAGCCAAGUAGCGUGCAGGAAGACGGCCCUAUGGGUUGUAAACUGCUUUUAUAAGGGAAUAAAGUGGGUCACGUGUGACUUUUUGCAUGUACCUUAUGAAUAAGGACCGGCUAAUUCCGUG
rnacentral:rRNA from 1 species